AAACAAAAAGUAUAUUUAUAUUACAAUUAGUUUCGACCUAAUAAAAACUUUGUGGUUUUGUUUA
rnacentral:tRNA from 1 species